UCGGGCGUGUGUAAAUAGUGAGGAUUUAAUUGCGUAACAUUUUGCCCACUAAUCGCUAUAUUCAGAACCACACGCCCCCAACGACCACAAAAAAUGCUCUCCAGAGUUGUAAUAUUGUAACCAAACUUGGAAGCAGGGGUGCAAGUUAUUUUGAUCGAUUCUGUUCAUCGACUUUCUGUGUCGUUAAUAACUCAACGGCAAACACAUUCAUUGAUACGUUCGUUGUUCUGGAUGAUAGAAGAGCAUAGCAGAAAUAGUACGAAAUAGGUUAGUGAAGCCAUGAUCAUCAAAAGAGGAAACUGAUGAAGAGAAUUGACUUUCACCCCUCUGCUUCAAAGCCCCUUAAUUCAGUCGGGAGGAGCUUUAGCUGGGUGGACACUGAUAUUCUACCGGCACAGCAGAUGAAGUGUAUGAUAAAAUACCCAAAAUGGGUGGGGCAUGAUUUUCUAGGAUUUGAAAGAUGAUUAUUUUGUCAUGUCCGAUUGACGAGCGAUAAAACCGUAAAAAGAGGAGGCUUCAACUGAUAUGUCCUUAAGUGUUUCUUUCGUUCAUACAGUAGCUGACCGAAGCUC